GGAGGAAAGCAGGGGAUCGUAAGACCUUGCGUUAAUGGAGCGGCCGAUAUCUGAUUAGCUAGUUGGUGAGGUAAAGGCUCACCAAGGCGACGAUCAGUAGCUGGUUUGAGAGAACGACCAGCCACACUGGAACUGAGACACGGUCCAGACUCCUACGGGAGGCAGCAGUGGGGAAUUUUGGACAAUGGGGGCAACCCUGAUCCAGCCAUUCCGCGUGAGUGAAGAAGGCCUUCGGGUUGUAAAGCUCUUUCGCAAGGGAAGAAAACUUAUGAUCGAAUAAAUCAUGAGGUUGACGGUACCUUGAUAAGAAGCACCGGCUAACUACGUGCCAGCAGCCGCGGUAAUACGUAGGGUGCGAGCGUUAGUCGGAAUUACUGGGCGUAAAGCGUGCGCAGGCGGUUUUGUAAGUCGGAUGUGAAAUCCCCGGGCUCAACCUGGGAACUGCGUUUGAAACUACAAGGCUAG
rnacentral:rRNA from 1 species